UACGUAGGGUGCAAGCGUUAAUCGGAUUUACUGGGCGUAAAGCGUGUGCAGGCGGCUUCGCAAGUCAGGUGUGAAAUCCCCGGGCUUAACCUGGGAAUUGCGCUUGAAACUAUGGAGCUAGAGUGCGGCAGAGGGGGGUGGAAUUCCACGUGUAGCAGUGAAAUGCGUAGAGAUGUGGAGGAACACCGAUGGCGAAGGCAGCCCCCUGGGCCGCUACUGACGCUCAGACACGAAAGCGUGGGGAGCAAACAGG
rnacentral:rRNA from 1 species